UCGUAACAAGGUCUCCGUUGGUGAACCAGCGGAGGGAUCAUUACUGAGUUACCGCUCUAUAACCCUUUGUGAACAUACCUACAACUGUUGCUUCGGCGGGUAGGCCGUCCCCUGAAAAGGACGCCUCCCGGCCCGGACCGGACCCCCCGCGGGACCGGACCCGGCGCCCGCCGGAGGAUAACCAAACUCUAUUGUAACGACGUUUCUUCUGAGUGGCAUAAGCAAAAUAAUCAAAACUUUUAACAACGGAUCUCUUGGUUCUGGCAUCGAUGAAGAACGCAGCGAAAUGCGAUAAGUAAUGUGAAUUGCAGAAUUCAGUGAAUCAUCGAAUCUUUGAACGCACAUUGCGCCCGCCAGCAUUCUGGCGGGCAUGCCUGUUCGAGCGUCAUUUCAACCCUCAAGCUCUGCUUGGUGUUGGGGCUCUACGGUCGACGUAGGCCCUCAAAGGUAGUGGCGGACCCUCCCGGAGCCUCCUUUGCGUAGUAACAUUUCGUCUCGCACUGGGAUCCGGAGGGACUCUUGCCGUAAAACCCCCCAAUUUUCCAAAGGUUGACCUCGGAUCAGGUAGGAAUACCCGCUGAACUUAAGCAUAUCAAU
rnacentral:rRNA from 1 species